ACGUAGGAAAGUGUUACAAUGGAGAGAGUUUUUACUUUUGGUUUAUGGGUAGAAGAAGGUUGGAAGACAAUCAGAAAUACAAAAUAAAUCAAAACUUAGACGGAGACGAUUUGGUGACAACCCUGACAAUCAAUAAUGUCACGAAAGAGGAUAUGACGUCAUAUAAUUGCCUGCUGGUUGACGAUAAAUUUGAAGGUGGCAACCGGAAUAUGACUGUAUUUCUCACGAAGAGAGAAAAUGCGAGUGGUGCUAUUGGGAAAGAUACCAGCCUGUUGACGUUUUAUUUAGGACUGUUAUUUUAUCUUUUUCUUUUGAAAUAAAGAUCAUUUCCAUUCUCGGAAAUGAAAAGAUUUUUU